rnacentral:rRNA from 1 species
UACGGAGGGUGCGAGCGUUGUCCGGAAUCACUGGGCGUAAAGGGCGCGUAGGCGGUGCGAGAAGCGUGUGGUGAAAGGCCGGGGCUCAACCCCGGCUCGGCCGUGCGGACUCUCGCGCUUGGUGAGUGCUGUAGAGGCGGGCGGAAUUCCGGGUGUAGCGGUGGAAUGCGUAGAGAUCCGGAAGAACACCGGUGGCGAAGGCGGCCCGCUGGGCAGUGACUGACGCUGAGGCGCGACAGCGUGGGGAGCAAAUAGG